GAUGAACGCUGGCGGCGUGCCUAAUACAUGCAAGUCGAGCGAACAGACGAGGAGCUUGCUCCUCUGACGUUAGCGGCGGACGGGUGAGUAACACGUGGAUAACCUACCUAUAAGACUGGGAUAACUUCGGGAAACCGGAGCUAAUACCGGAUAAUAUAUUGAACCGCAUGGUUCAAUAGUGAAAGACGGUUUUGCUGUCACUUAUAGAUGGAUCCGCGCCGCAUUAGCUAGUUGGUAAGGUAACGGCUUACCAAGGCAACGAUGCGUAGCCGACCUGAAAGGGUGAUCGGCCACACUGGAACUGAGACACGGUCCAGAUUCCUACGGGAGGCAGCAGUAGGGAAUCUUCCGCAAUGGGCGAAAGCCUGACGGAGCAACGCCGCGUGAGUGAUGAAGGUCUUCUGAUCGGAAAACUCUGUUAUUAGGGAAGAACAAAUGUGUAAGUAACUAUGCACGUCUUGACGGUACCUAAUCAGAAAGCCACGGCUAACUACGUG
rnacentral:rRNA from 1 species